ACCUUAUCAAGAGUGGUCGAGGGACGGGCCCUAUGAAGCCACAGCAACCGGUUGGUAUCCAAUGUCAGGUGCUAAAUCCCGCCUUUUUAUAAGGAAAGAUAAGGC
rnacentral:ncRNA from 2 species